rnacentral:lncRNA from 1 species
GUUAUUUAGUGUGUCGUUCUAUAUGCUCGCACGACGUGUCGAUGCUUCAGAACAAAAGCCCAAGAUCUUUUGUCCGUUCGGUCAGUGGAGAGGGUUCCACCUUUCCGAAUCCCCACUUUUUGUCUUGAGCUCACCUUGCCCAGGGUUAAAGAGCUAUGAGGUCUUAUCCUCAUUACCCUUCUGAUCUGCUCACCCUGACGUUCAGUGUCAGUGGUUAAGAGCCCGUUUA